GACGAACGCUGGCGGCGUGCCUAAUACAUGCAAGUCGAACGAUAUCGACCGGCGCUUGCACUGACCAAUCUACUGGCGAACGGCUGAUUAACACUCGGGUUACCUGCCCAUCAUAGGGCGAUAACAUUCGGAAACGGAUGCUAAAACCUCAUAGGUUCUACUGUCACAUGACUGAAGAAUGAAAAGGAGGCUUCAUGCUUCUGCUGAUGGAUGGACCCGACGUGCAUUAACUAGUUGGCGAGGUAACGGCUCACCAAGGCCGCGAUGAAUAACCUACCUGAGAUGGUGAUCGGCCACAUUGCCACUGACACACGGCCCACACUCCUACGGAAUGUCGCACUAUGGAAUCUUCUCGCAAUGCACCCAUGUCUGACGGAGCAUCACCGCCCUAGUGAAUAAGGAUUUCUUUUCGUAAAACUCUGUUGCUCCAUAAUAACAGCGCUUAAAGUAACUGUUAUACUUGUGACCGUAUCUCUCCAUAACGCCACGCCUAACUACAUGCCAGAUCCCACGGUAAUACGUAAGCGGUGAGCUUUGUCCGGAUUUAUUGGGCUUAAAGCGAGCGCAGGCAGACAAUUUCGUCUGAUGUGAAAGCCCCCCGCUCAACCGGUGAAGGUCAUUGGAUACUGGUUGACUUGAAUGCAUAAUAUGACAGUGAAAUUCCAUGUGUAGCGGUGAAAUGCUUAGAUAUAUGGAGGAACACCAGUGGCGAAGGCGACUCUCUGGUCUGUUACUGACGCUGAGGCCCGAAAGCGUGGGUAGCAAACAGGAUUAGAUACCCUGGUAGUCCACGCCGUAAACGAUGAGUGAUAACUGUUGGAGGGUUUCCGCCCUUCAGUGCUGCAGUUAAAGCAUUUAGCACUCCCCCUGGGGAGUACGGCCGCAAGGUUGAAACUCAAAGGAAUUGACGGGGACCCGCACAAGCGGUGGAGCAUGUGGUUUAAUUUGAAGCAUCGCGAAGAACCUUACCAAGUCUUGACAUCUUUAGACCACUGUAGAGAUAGAGCUUUCCCUUAGGGGACAAAGUGACAGGUGGUACAGGGUGUUGAUCAUCUCGUGUCGUGAGAUGUUGGGUUAAGUCAUGCAGAGAGCGCAACCUUUAUUUAUAGUCCCCAGCAUUAAGUUGGGCACUCUAGUGAGACUGCCGGUGCCAAACCGGAGGAAGGUGGGGAUGACGUCAAAUCAUCAUGCCCCUUAUGACUUGGGCUACACACGUGCUACAAUGGAUGGUACAGAGAGCAGCGAACUCGUGAGGGUAAGCGAAUCUAUUAAACCCAUUAUCAGUUGGGUUGGUAUGUUGCAAUUGGCUUACAGGAAGCGGGAAUCGUUAGUAUCCGAGAACAACCAUGACCCGGUGAAUACGUUCCCGGGUCU
rnacentral:rRNA from 1 species